rnacentral:rRNA from 1 species
UACGUAGGGUGCAAGCGUUGUUCGGAAUUACUGGGCGUAAAGGGCGCGUAGGCGGGUCUGUAAGUCGUCUGUGAAAUCCCCGGGCUUAACCUGGGAAUGGCAGAUGAUACUGCAGAUCUUGAGUGCUUGAGAGGAUGGCGGAAUUCCAGGUGUAGAAGUGAAAUUCGUAGAUAUCUGGAGGAACACCGGAGGCGAAGGCGGCUGUCUGGCAAGACACUGACGCUGAGGCGCGAAAGCGUGGGGAUCAAACAGG